UGGGGAAUCGUUCCGCAAUGGACGAAAGUCUGACGGAGCAACGCCGCGUGUAUGAUGAAGGUCUUCGGAUUGUAAAGUACUGUCAUUGGGGAAGAACGGUUUUCUUGAAAAGAUUGAGAAGACAUGACGGUACCCAAGGAGGAAGCCCCGGCUAACUACGUGCCAGCAGCCGCGGUAAUACGUAGGGGGCAAGCGUUGUCCGGAAUUAUUGGGCGUAAAGGGCGCGUAGGCGGGCCUUUAAGUCCGGUGUGAAAGAUCAGGGCUCAACCCUGAGAGUGCAUCGGAAACUGGAGGCCUUGAGGACAGGAGAGGAAAGUGGAAUUCCACGUGUAGCGGUGAAAUGCGUAGAUAUGUGGAGGAACACCAGUGGCGAAGGCGACUUUCUGGACUGUAACUGACGCUGAGGCGCGAAAGCGUGGGGAGCAAACAGGAUUAGAUACCCUGGUAGUCCACGCCGUAAACGAUGAGUGCUAGGUGUAGAGGGUAUCGACCCCCUUCUGUGCCGCAGUUAACACAAUAA
rnacentral:rRNA from 1 species